AACGCACCUUGCGCCCCUUGGCAUUCCGAGGGGCACACCCGUUUGAGUGUCGUGAAAUCAUCAAAACCCUUUUCUUUGAUCCUCUCUUGGUCGAGAAAAGGGAUUUUUGGACUUGGAGGUUUCAUGCUAGCUUUCAAGCUUUUGAAAGCGAGCUCCUCUCAAAUGAAUUAGUGGGGUCCGCUUUGCCGAUCCUUGACGUGAUAAAGAUGUUUCUACGUUUUGGAUUCGGCACUGUCUCUUUGGACGUCUGCUUCUAACCGUCCCCCUGGACGAUGAUGGUGCUCCGGUCACCGCCCAUCUUAUAUUGGCGAGAGGCUGGACCCACAAGAAAAAACCUUGACCUCAAAUCGGGUGAGACUACCCGCUGAACUUAA
rnacentral:misc_RNA from 1 species